AGCCCUGAGGUGUUACCACGUAGAUUGCAAAUCUUAAGUAGCAGGUUGAUCGCCUGCCGGGGCUU
rnacentral:tRNA from 1 species